CCUACGGGUGGCAGCAGUGAGGAAUAUUGGUCAAUGGGAGAGAUCCUGAACCAGCCAAGCCGCGUGAGGGAAGACGGCCCUAUGGGUUGUAAACCUCUUUUGUCGGAGAACAAAACCCGGGACGUGUCCCGGACUGCGUGUAUCCGAAGAAAAAGCAUCGGCUAACUCCGUUCCAGCAGCCGCGGUAAUACGGAGGAUGCGAGCGUUAUCCGGAUUUAUUGGGUUUAAAGGGUGCGUAGGCGGUCCGUUAAGUCAGCGGGAAAAUUGCGGGGCUAAACCCCGUCGAGCCGUUGAAACUGGCAGACUUGAGUUGGCGAGAAGUACGCGGAAUGCGCGGUGUAGCGGUGAAAUGCAUAGAUAUCGCGCAGAACUCCGAUUGCGAAGGCAGCGUACCGGCGCAAGACUGACGCUGAGGCACGAAAGCGUGGGGAUCGAACAGGAUUAGAUAACCCAGUAGUC
rnacentral:rRNA from 1 species